GAUGAACGCUGGCGGCGUGCCUAAUACAUGCAAGUCGAGCGAACAGAUGAGGAGCUUGCUCCUCUGACGUUAGCGGCGGACGGGUGAGUAACACGUGGAUAACCUACCUAUAAGACUGGGAUAACUUCGGGAAACCGGAGCUAAUACCGGAUAAUAUAUUGAACCGCAUGGUUCAAUAGUGAAAGACGGUUUUGCUGUCACUUAUAGAUGGAUCCGCGCCGCAUUAGCUAGUUGGUAAGGUAACGGCUUACCAAGGCAACGAUGCGUAGCCGACCUGAGAGGGUGAUCGGCCACACUGGAACGUAGACACGGUCCAGACUCCUACGGGAGGCAGCAGUAGGGAAUCUUCCGCAAUGGGCGAAAGCCUGACGGAGCAACGCCGCGUGAGUGAUGAAGGUCUUCGGAUCGUAAAACUCUGUUAUUAGGGAAGAACAAAUGUGUAAGUAACUAUGCACGUCUUGACGGUACCUAAUCAGAAAGUCACGGCUAACUACGUG
rnacentral:rRNA from 1 species